AUACGAAAGGUGCAAGCGUUGUUCGGAUUUACUGGGCGUAAAGAGAGUGUAGGUUGUUUAUUAAGUCGGAUGUGAAAUCCCGGGGCUCAACCUCGGAACUGCAUUCGAUACUGGUAGACUAGAGUUCGGGAGGGGUAAGCGGAAUUCCGUGUGUAGCAGUGAAAUGCGUAGAUAUACGGAGGAACACCUGAGGCGAAGGCGGCUUACUGGACCAAUACUGACACUGAGACUCGAAAGCGUGGGUAGCAAACAGGAUUAGAAACCCGGGUAGUCC
rnacentral:rRNA from 1 species